rnacentral:rRNA from 1 species
GUGAAUACGUUCCCGGGCCUUGUACACACCGCCCGUCACACCACGAAAGCCGGGAACACCCGAAGCCGGUGGCCUAACCCGCGAGGGAGGGAGCCGUCGAAGGUGGGUUCGGUGAUUGGGGUGAAGUCGUAACAAGGUAGCCGUACCGGAAGGUGCGGCUGGAUCACCUCCUUU